ACGCUGGCGGCGUGCCUAAUACAUGCAAGUCGAACGAACUCUGGUAAUGAUUGGUGCUUGCAUCAUGAAUUACAUUUGAGUGAGUGGCGAACUGGUGAGUAACACGUGGGAAACCUGCCCAGAAGCGGGGGAUAACACCUGGAAACAGAUGCUAAUACCGCAUAACAACUUGGACCGCAUGGUCCGAGUUUGAAAGAUGGCUUCGGCUAUCACUUUUGGAUGGUCCCGCGGCGUAUUAGCUAGAUGGUGAGGUAACGGCUCACCAUGGCAAUGAUACGUAGCCGACCUGAGAGGGUAAUCGGCCACAUUGGGACUGAGACA
rnacentral:rRNA from 2 species